AUUGAACGCUGGCGGCAUGCCUUACACAUGCAAGUCGAACGGCAGCAUGGGUGCUUGCACCUGAUGGCGAGUGGCGAACGGGUGAGUAAUGCAUCGGAACGUACCCGGAAGUGGGGGAUAACGUAGCGAAAGUUACGCUAAUACCGCAUAUUCUGUGAGCAGGAAAGCGGGGGAUCGCAAGACCUCGCGCUUCCGGAGCGGCCGAUGUCGGAUUAGCUAGUUGGCGGGGUAAAGGCCACCAAGGCAACGAUCCGUAGCGGGUCUGAGAGGAUGAUCCGCCACACUGGGACUGAGACACGGCCCAGACUCCUACGGGAGGCAGCAGUGGGGAAUUUGGACAAUGGGGGCAACCCGUGAUCCAGCCAUGCCCGCGUGAGUGAAGAA
rnacentral:rRNA from 1 species